UUUCUGUACUAUAUUGGUAUGCAGCGCUUCCGGAUGCGUCCGAACGGUCGUGUUCUGGUAAAUUUUGGGAGGAGGGUCUUCGGACCCUCUUUUUUUUUGUCAAUUUUUUUUUCUGUUUGAUGAAUGCGUUUGCAGGGUGGUAGUUGCCUCUGGGCCUGGGGUUCCGGUGUGGGGGUGGCGGCCGUUGCGCCCAUUCAUUUAUCCACACGCAAGCGUUGGGCACACACAMMMUAUAUAUAUAUAURUAUGUAUAUUACAAAUGCACAAGCUGCUGCUAUUGUAUUAUUAUUAUWAUUGAUGUAUGCGUGUUGUUACUUAUUACAAUAUAUAGAGAGCGCAUUGUGCAAGAUGAGGCGUGGCUCUGCACAACGCCGUAGAGGUGGAGGGAAGGGAAAGGGGGAGGGCUAGGGAGAGAGCGCAGAGCUCUCUCAACACUGAAAACGGGAGGAGUGGGUACGACCAUACUUGGCCGAAUGCACCACAUCCCGUCCGAUUUGUGAAGUUAAGCGGUCACAGGCCUCGUUAGUACGGCGAUCAGUGAUGGCGCUGGAACCCGGGGUGUCGUACUCUCUCAUCACUAYUUUUUUUUUCACCACACACAUUGCCUUUUUAAACCCACGCACGCACACGCAUGCACAAUAUUGUGCGCCCCCGCGCCUUAUUUKUUCUCCCCCAGCGCACGCCGCCCAAGAGGCAAACGGCAUAUACACAGCCCCCGCGGUAACAAUAAGCGGGGGGGGGGGAGGGGAGGGGAAAGGGCUUGGCCCAGCAGCAUCCGCCGUGGCGCGCGGACGCGAGCUCACACCGACACGCCGGCACCGCUGCGCCCCGCACGCGCGCCGAAAGAGGGGGAGUGUGAGGGGGGGGGGGGGUGGAAAAGUGGACCCGUCCGCAUCCUAUUGUGAUCCCCAUCUUUGCAAAACAUCGGGCAGGGGCGGGAGGGAGUGCUUUCAACUAACGCUAUUAUUGAUACAGUUUUU
rnacentral:misc_RNA from 1 species